rnacentral:rRNA from 1 species
CCUACGGGUGGCAGCAGUGGGGAAUAUUGGACAAUGGGGGCAACCCUGAUCCAGCCAUGCCGCGUGUGUGAAGAAGGCCCUCGGGUUGGAAAGCACUUUCAGUGAGGAAGAACGCCUGGUGGUUAAUACCCAUCAGGAAAGACAUCACUCACAGAAGAAGCACCGGCUAACUCCGUGCCAGCAGCCGCGGUAAUACGGAGGGUGCGAGCGUUAAUCGGAAUUACUGGGCGUAAAGCGCGCGUAGGUGGCUUGAUAAGCCGGUUGUGAAAGCCCCGGGCUCAACCUGGGAACGGCAUCCGGAACUGUCAAGCUAGAGUGCAGGAGAGGAAGGUAGAAUUCCCGGUGUAGCGGUGAAAUGCGUAGAGAUCGGGAGGAAUACCAGUGGCGAAGGCGGCCUUCUGGACUGACACUGACACUGAGGUGCGAAAGCGUGGGUAGCAAACAGGAUUAGAUACCCUAGUAGUC